rnacentral:lncRNA from 1 species
GGCUCGAAAACUUUUAAAGAAAAUUCACCAAAGAUACCGCAAAUAAAAUAAUAUCUAUAGAAGCCGUUUUUGGAAUAUCAGGUAAGGUUGUUUAUAUUUUAUUCUGUUGAUAUUUCAUUGAUCUCAUAUCAAUACCGAGUCUAUAAAAUAAGAGCCAGAGUCGUCAGCCAGGUACGCUUCGUUCACACCUCUCAUACACAUUAUUCAUAUCAUUGAGACUUUAUUCUCUUCCACUGAGAAUCCUUCAAAAGGAACUGAGGUUCUUCCCUUAUAACACGCCUAACUUGAGCGUCGGAGUGCCUUUGCAGGUAUCCCUCUCUCGGUCAUAGUUCAGAGAUUGCCAGACAGUCGAGAUUGAAGGCGAACAGACGAUCAAAACGCAACAGAAACCACUGAUCCAGUCCAUCCGAACACCAGAAAUUAGCAGAGCCACAUCGUCAAGAUUAGUGUCUCGGUUUCCAAAAUUAUCUACCAAAACAAAAAGUAACCAAUAAAUACUAAUAAAGGAUAAAAAAAUUAGUUAUGGAAGGAUAAAAGAUGGCUUUAUGAAUCAUACUAGGACUUAAAAGAUUAAAUAUGUCUAAAAUUCAAAGAUCAAUCCUGUAUUAAAGUUUGAUGAUCAUAAAUGCAAAUAAUGGUUUGAAUUUAUAUUUCUUAUACUCAAUAAAAAAAAAAAACUUUUUUUAGCGAUAUAUUAUACUGGUUUAAAUUUAUCAGGUAUAAAUGUCACAUUCCAGUUUUUUUUAGUCCUUAAAGUAACAAAUAUUAAAAAAUUUUGUUAAAACCAUAAGAUAGUACUACAACAUGACAUUACCUCUAAUACACGAUAAUUGUCACAACAAUCCAUUUAACCAACUCCUCACCCCUUGGGUUUCAAUUCCAGAAAUCCCAUAUCACACUAUUGCAGUCAUAACUUAACCAUUUAGAAAAUCUUCACUAACCACUGCCAUCCAACAAUAUACCUUAACUCCUAGAGACCUUAAUCAGUCUAAACAUUGAUGAAUAUCUUCAUCACCACAAGCUAUACUUAUCAGGUCAAAUAGAGGUUAAUUUAACUUUAAACACAUUCCCAAGUAAACUAAACUCAAUAACAACAAUCCACAAUUACAUUCUCCAGAUUCUUUAUUCACUAAUACUUUAUUCAUAUCUUUUCAUUCAAUUGGGAUUUUACCUCUGACUCAAAAUCGUAAGCAAACAUAUAGGGUAUAAAUUUGUGAUGCCCAUUUCAGUUCAAUCUCAUCAAAUAUAAUAAUACCCAAAACAACUAACAAGACUAUAACAUCAUAUAAAUAUACCAUGUCUCGUUUACCCUUAGAAUUAUAACACCCUAUAAUUAUCAUGUUCGCUUGGUCAAUACAUACAUACAACCGAAAAGGUUUAUACUAGCCACGCAGAAGUAAAAAGAAUGCACAAUUAUCAUACCGCAAGCAUCUAAAAAAAACACACACCGAGUUAACUCCCUGUACUGAUUCAAUUUCACCCGUUACGACAACCCUCUACUCAAACUUCAUGUAUCUCGCUCCCCCGCUCCUGCAUUCACUCUCUGGCUCCCAAAACUUGUUUCCUCCGCUCAAAAGCCCAAAAUCCCCUAAAGGUUUGCCUCGAAACCUUCCGCGAAGUGCCCCUCCCCCUAUCGCCUUCGCGGGAUAACCUUUAAUCGCUUAAACUCCUUCUUCCAUACUCAGCUCUCACUCACCACCGAAUUUGCUCGUGUCGGAUUGAGGAUUGGAUGCUCUCCUUUCUCUCGCUUUCACGCUUCAAACCUCUCUUCCUCUCUUAACCUAGGAUUCAC